rnacentral:rRNA from 1 species
AGUGAACGCUGGCGGUAGGCCUAACACAUGCAAGUCGAACGGCAGCACAGGAGAGCUUGCUCUCUGGGUGGCGAGUGGCGGACGGGUGAGGAAUACAUCGGAAUCUACUUUUUCGUGGGGGAUAACGUAGGGAAACUUACGCUAAUACCGCAUACGACCUACGGGUGAAAGCAGGGGAUCUUCGGACCUUGCGCGAUUGAAUGAGCCGAUGUCGGAUUAGCUAGUUGGCGGGGUAAAGGCCCACCAAGGCGACGAUCCGUAGCUGGUCUGAGAGGAUGAUCAGCCACACUGGAACUGAGACGCGGUCCAGACUCCUACGGGAGGCAGCAGUGGGGAAUAUUGGACAAGGGGCGCAAGCCUGAUCCAGCCAUACCGCGAGGGUGAAGAAGGCCUUCGGGUUGUAAAGCCCUUUUGUUGGGAAAGAAAUCCAGCUGGUUAAUACCCGGUUGGGAUGACGGUACCCAAAGAAUAAGCACCGGCUAACUUCGUGCCAGCAGCCGCGGUAA